UACGGAGGGUGCAAGCGUUAAUCGGAAUUACUGGGCGUAAAGCGCACGCAGGCGGUUUGUUAAGUCAGAUGUGAAAUCCCCGGGCUCAACCUGGGAAUAGCAUUUGAAACUGGCAAACUUGAGUCCAGUAGAGGGGGGUAGAAUUCCAGGUGUAGCGGUGAAAUGCGUAGAGAUGUGGAGGAAUACCGGUGGCGAAGGCGGCCUCCUGGAC
rnacentral:rRNA from 1 species